CUGCCUUUUUAAGAAUAAGGUUCUUUUCCCUCAGCAAACCUUCUAACAUCCUCAUUUUUAACUCUUUUUUCUCCUCAUGCUGCUUUUGUCCAAGAGGCAGAGACUGAGAACGUGUGACCAAGAAUCUUCAGAGGGACGUUUCUUGUAAGGAUGCACUGGGGUUUGCUUGCCAGGCUGUUGAGAGCAUCAUAUCAGGAUCUGAGAAUUGAGCAAGUACACUGAAAUCAAAGGGACUUCACUCUUUUGUUAUUAUCACAGGGAAAACGAAUCUCCUGUUACCAUUCUGCACUUAAAUGUGCAGCCCAGGGAGGUGGUUCACAGUGAGAAGUUCUUCAUUUUUUUGAAAUACAAUAGUG